CCUCAUGAGUCAUGAUUCUGCAUGUGUGAGCAACCUUUCAAAGUAAGGGGAUUCCUUGUGCGCAGUAAGCAAAGGUUUAGCCUCUGUGGUUCAUGUUCAGUUGAGUUACCAUG